UACGGGGGGAGCAAGCGUUGUUCGGAUUUACUGGGCGUAAAGGGCGCGUAGGCGGCCACCGCAAGUCGGUUGUGAAAUCUCUGGGCUUAACCCAGAAAGGUCAACCGAUACUGCGGGGCUAGAGUGCAGAAGGGGCAACUGGAAUUCUCGGUGUAGCGGUGAAAUGCGUAGAUAUCGAGAGGAACACCUGCGGCGAAGGCGGGUUGCUGGGCUGAUACUGACGCUGAGGAGCGAAAGCGUGGGGAGCGAACAGG
rnacentral:rRNA from 1 species